rnacentral:lncRNA from 1 species
UAGGAAAGCGAGUCUUAGAAGAAUAUAUAAAAUGCAUCCCAAAGAACCAAAAAGGAGUGCGUUUUUAACCACUCGUCAUUGGAAAUCGACAGCAUCAUAACUCCUGUGUUAGUCUCCCAGGACCACCGUAACAAAGUACCAUACACGGAGCAGCUUAAGCAACAGAAAUUUAUUAUCUCACAGCUCUGGAGGCUCCACAUCUGAGAUCCACGUGUCAGCGGGGCCAUGCUCCCUCACAGGGUGCCAGGGAAGGGUCUGUUCCACACCUCUCUCCAGCUCCUGGUACUUCCUCGGCUGGUCCUGGCUGGGGAAGAGAGAUCUCAGCUGUUACAGGCGUUGAAGUCAGGAAACAGGACCCCAGAAACAACUCUCAAGAAACCAACUUGCUUGGCUCAGUCUCCCCGAAAUCCUGUGGCCUGCAGCCUUUGGAACUGGGUUUAUUUAUUCAUUUGAAUUGGAUCCUGGCAUUUCUUUGUGUUUGUUCUCUCCAUAAAGACCUUUUUAUUUGGGUCCUGGAGAGCUGUUUACUGCUUAGCUCAUGUGACAUGAAGAUUGUGAGGACCUGGAGGCCUUAACUCCUGUUACUCCCCAGCGAACUCUGCCCUCCAGGGAAACAGGUGGGGCUCCAUCCAGAUAAGAACAGCCUUUCCAAACAGGAACGACCUCACUCCCCAAACGCAAAGAGCUUAGAGAUUAAAAAUGCAGGCAACCUCCUACCCACUCAUCCCAGGAAGGUGCAGAGUCCUAGGGACCCACUGGGAGAGGGCUGGAUUGCUGUAAUUAAAAGUACUUUUAAAUGAGCA